UAAGCACUGUUUAAGGAGUCGGUUCUGGUCUCCCAAGAAACCAGUGCCUUCCUGAUCUGUGAAAUGAAGAGCUGGGGGUUGGACAAGCUCCAAGACCCUUUAAGAGUUUUUAAAUUAUGUGGAUCCAAGAGGACACACAACAGGACAACUAACCCAAAACAUACAGACAAAAGAUCCCAAACUCCUUCAGAUCACAAUUCUCAAACCAGAAGAACACACACAUUCAUUCUGCUCCGGAAAGAGUAAAGACUAAAGGGGGGAAAGCCCAUUACUAAAUCGCUUUAUGGCCCUAGGUCUUCAAGAAACACAUGUUCAAACAUUCUGCCUGCUUAAUGAGAUCCUUGUUCCUGUUGAACUUCUACAACCUUAUUGGAAAUCAAUGAUUGCUUCUGAUCUUCCAAAUGUAAUGUUGAAAAGACCUAUUUGAAAUCACUGUAUAAAAUGCUUUGAGAUUGCAGGAUGUGGAGAGCGUGCUGUCAUUAAAAUGAAUGAU